rnacentral:lncRNA from 1 species
GUUUCAGUCAGACUCACUGGGACGACCUGCCUGCAGAAAGGAGCUACUCACUUUGGGUCUCCUGAGAGCUGUUCUUUCAGUAAAGCUCCCCUCCACCUUGCUCACCCUCCAGUUGUCCUCAGUAUAACCUGAUUUUUCCUGGAUGGGGGACGAGAACUCAGGACCUGCCAAACAGCGGGAGCGAAAGGAGCUGUAACACGCUGGCCGGCUCACAGGGUUGCCGGUGGUCAAACGCUCCCUGACUGUGGGAGUGAAGAGUGGCGACCCUCCUUGGGGGCCCAGAACUCGGGAUUCCCUGGGCCAGACCUGCUGUGACACUAAUCCCCUCCAUCUAUGCCGGGUGGCCGCCCCACGUAACAGGAAGCAGCACCAGGGCCAGUUUCCAUGAACCAGAGUAGGGCGGAGAGACUGAAAGCUGUCACACAAAUGGACCGAAUCACAUCCCACCCCCGAAAUUGCCCCCUCGCUUGUGCUGCAGAAGAACAGAAAGAGAGAAGAGCUGCAGCCUUUCUGGGAGCACAGACCUCAGGGCUCCCCGAACCAGGGCUGAGACACGCCUCUUUUGGGCUCUGCAAUUUCUGGCAUCUCUGAGCUUUUGGGCAUUACCACGCUUAUGACCCCAGUGGAAGCCUCUUGCAGUACACGGUGCCGGUACCUGCGCAGGCACCUGGAGCUGCCCAUCCCGCUGCAGUAGCCGAUGUGCCUGGAUUUGUGGAACCAGAUAAUUUUCUGCCUCAGCCGCUUGCUCCCUCACACAGCCCUCGCUGCCCCACUCCUAGCUGGCCCUUGGCAGGCGUGGGAUCUGGGCUGGUAGCCCAAGCUGAGUACAGCCUGCUGGGCUGAGUGGGCAGAACAAGAUCAACAGAUAAGCAACAACAUUAAAAAAGAAUUCUGAGCAUCAUAACAUCCCAGAACAUUCAUGCAGGAUUGCUGAUGGAAUUUGAAGCUGCCUAUU